UACCGCGGUUAGACGAGAGGCCCAAGUUGACAGAUCCCGGCGUAAAGAGUGGUUAAGAUAAUAAAUGUACUAAAGACGAAUAGCUCCCGGGCUGUUAUACGCAUCCGAAAGCUAGAAGCUCAGCCACGAAAGUUGCUUUACUAUUCUGAACCCACGAAAGCCAAGGCA
rnacentral:rRNA from 1 species